rnacentral:lncRNA from 1 species
AUUGGAUUUUAUGUGAAGAAAAUAGUUUCCUGAAAACAUGUUUUAUUUCUGUUAUUCAUAGCAUUUUUUAUUUUUCAAAUUUUACCCUUUGAACACAGUAAUUUAAUUUGACAUUUCAUAUUUAUGUGGCUGUCAUUUUUUUCUUCAAAUUUUGCAUUUAGAUCAAUUUUGUAUUUUGAGUUAAUUUUCAUCACAAGUCAAAAGUUUAAGGUGGUACCUAACACUACAGGGAGAUAACUCUGUAAAAUCAGCUAAACGUUUUAAUUAUGUUGUGUUGUUAAGGAAAUAUAAAGCUUCUCAAUGAUCAAAAUUAGUGUUUGUCAAACUGCUAUAUAACCAGUGUCAAAGGGUCAAAGUAAAUACUUUUAUUUAUUUUAUGAAAAUUAAACGAGCCAAUUUAAGUUUAGGGAAAGUGUUGGGUACCACCUUAAAUAAGUGAUUACUUAUGUUUUUUUUUGUCUUGCGUAAUAAGAAAUGAUCUGAAUAUUUAAUUUUACUACCCCUCUUUUACAUAUAUUUUAUUAGUUUUAGUCUUAUAUCAUUCAUGCAUUAUUUAUGUAAUAUUUAUUAUUAUUUUUUUCAUAAUUAUACUGAUCUCAAGAAGUCAUAGAUUUAGCAAUUCCUGACAAAGUACAUUUUAGUUUAUAGAAAUACGUGAAUAAUCAACUGAUUACAAAUGAACUCCUGUAGUAGUGUUGUCAAUAUUCCUACCCAAACUGAAAUAUUCUAAUUUCUUCCUAAAUAGGCACAGCUUCUCUCAGGGGUAAACCUAGAAAUUUGUCCUGAGUCUGGAAUUUUCCAGAUGAAUAAAAGUAUUAAGAUAUGCCAAAAGAUCCCUAUUGACAAGGUUCUUGACUUGGGAGGGGCACAUGAAAAUGUUGUUGGAAGACCAUUUUUUUUGUAUCUCAAUUCUCAACCCAUCCUUCUUUUCAUUCCCAAUCAGAAGAGUAACAACACAUACUUAAAAAAAAACAUAAAAAUAAAAACCAGUAAAGGAAAGGAACUUAACUCUUGAAAAAAUAUAUAAUAGAUUAUAAAAAUGAGAAUGAUUUGCCAAGAUGAUGUUGAUGUUAUUUAAGAUAAUAAGAUUUUCAAUUGUUUUUGUUGAGCCUGCAACUUUUGUCGCAAAAGCGAGACAUAGCGAUCCUACAUUUGGUCGUCGUCAGCAACAGCAAAAGUAGGCGAGACACUGGAUUCCGCGGAACCCUUAUGAAUUUUUUAAAAUUUAAUGGAUAAGUUAUCAAACUUAUAAAUAAUCAUGUGAAACUGUUAACACCAGCCAAUAAAUAAUAUUGUCAGAAGCCUGUAAAUCAGUGGUUGUGUUUGUUGCUUUAUGCAAUAUUUGUUUUUUCUCUUAAUCGUUUUUGCAUUGAACUUGCAGUUGGUGGUUUUGCUUGAAACGUUUCCCAUUUUGUCUGCUGGGGCCUUUUGUUUUAGCUGAUUAAAUGUAAUGGGUUUUACUCAUUGUUGAAGGAUGUAUAGUUACCUAAAGCAGAGGCCUUUCCCUAUAUAAAGGUAUACAGGGAGGUGCCACUGGUAUAAGUCUUGUUUUUGAAUGUCUAUUAUACUGAUGGGGUACAAUUGUACAGGGG